UACCUGCAGCCCAAGUGGUGGUCGAUUUUAUUGAGCCUAAAACGUUCGUAGCCGGUUUGGUAAAUCUUUGGGUAAGUCGGGAGGCUCAACUUUCCGACUUCCGAAGAGACUGUCAAACUUGGGACCGGGAGAGGCUAGAGGUACUUCUGGGGUAGGGGUAAGAUCCUGUAAUCCUAGAAGGACCACCGGUGGCGAAGGCGUCUAGCUAGAACGGAUCCGACGGUGAGGGACGAAGCCCUGGGUCGCAAACGGGAUUAGAUACCCCGGUAGUCCAGGGUGUAAACGCUGCCGACUUGGUGUUGGAGGCCCUUCGGGGGCAUUCAGUGCCGGAGAGAAGUUGUUAAGUCGGCUACUUGGGGAGUACGUCCGCAAGGAUGAAACUUAAA
rnacentral:rRNA from 1 species